AAACAUUGUCAAAUUAUCAGAUUGGACCUUCGGUUGUCCAUUUGUUUAAAUAAUUAAUUUAAAUUUAUUUAAAACAAUGUCUAAGAUAUCCGACACGAAAAGACACGCUGCUAUUAAGCACUAGUUGUCCGUCGUCCCGGAAUGCUAAGAAACGAUCGGACCCCGCCAACGUGAAGCCUACGGAAGGGUGACAAACCCGGGGGACGGGGUCGGUGACUCUUCGUCUCAACAGAAGGGAAUGAUAUCUGCGGGGAAACAUUUGACCUGUUCUGUUCAAAAAAAGAAGAUGCUAUCGCGGUGCGUCAAGAUGAAGGAUAGUUCGAAGAACGCAAUGAAAAUCCGGAUGAAGGGACGAAGGCACUGCGGGUGAUCAAUCCAGUGGCCCUGUUGGUCAAAAAGCUAGCCAACGAAUUGGAUUCCGGUUGAGGAAUCUGCUGAAGCUGCCGAAGGCGCACAAAUUUGUCGGCUUCGAAUGGUUUUACAGCAAUAUCGACCAAGCGCUGUUCGAGGGUUUGGAUGACUUCCAGUUGUACCUGAGGGAAAUACACCAGGAUUUGAAAACAAUACAUUUGAUAAGCGCUGAGUGGAUCCGAUUUCGGAGGACUAUGGGAAAACCGAGAUGUUGUUUGGUAGUCUUUUAAGAGGAUGAAUGUCGUGAGUUGGAACGAAAGCGGCGUAAGAAUCGGCUACUGCUGACCAAGUGAUUGGGAGAUUUUUCCUUUGUCCAUAUCGGUUAUUCUUCUAUUGACCCGGUUUGGGUGCCCAUACGAUUCCAGACUUCGAGGUUGUAGCCAACGAUAAUCCUGAUUGCUCUGAAUAUGAUCACGCAGGACAUCCGACCUAAGUAUCAGAAUGCUUCAUUAUAUGUCGCUUCACUUGCCGUAAAAAUCCCAUCUUAUCUGAUUAGAUUACUCGAACAAGAAAGAUAUCCGUUGUCCCGAAACGCUACUGUUGGCGGGUAGAAAAGUCGGAAACCGGAAUGUUCAGCACCGACAUGUCUUCAUAAGUAUCCUAUCAGCAGUUAUCAUGAUUCAAUUUAUUGACGAUAUUCUUACUUUUAUGUUAUGUUAUAUGCAUGGUUCAGUGGCGUAGGUUUGAACUUGAAGAUAAAGCUUUCAGAAGAAAAAAUUUGUUCGAAGCCUUCUGAAUAAAACAAAAUGUUCAGAAAACCCUCCCCAGACCAAUUUUCUGGCUACGUCACUGG